rnacentral:rRNA from 1 species
UACGUAGGUCCCGAGCGUUGUCCGGAUUUAUUGGGCGUAAAGGGAGCGUAGGCGGCGCGUUAAGUCUGAUGUGAAAACCCGAGGCUCAACCACGGGAGUGCAUUGGAAACUGGCGGGCUGGAGUGCCGGAGAGGUAAGCGGAAUUCCUAGUGUAGCGGUGAAAUGCGUAGAUAUUAGGAGGAACACCAGUGGCGAAGGCGGCUUACUGGACGGCAACUGACGCUGAGGCUCGAAAGCGUGGGGAGCAAACAGG